CUCCGUUCUUUUUCAAACCGAGCUCGCGCGGCGCGCGUGGCUCUGCGCGUGCGCGGCUGGGCGGCAGCGGCGCCGCGGGAGCCGGAGCUCGGCAGCUCCCGUGGUGGGCGGGCGUCAGGCCCUCACGACGGUGGCGGCCGCCGCCCGCCUUUCGAACGCGCUGAGGGGACUCGUGCUGCGCCGGCGCUGCUGCCCCGUGGCCGCUCCGUCCCUCGCUGCGGCGGCUUGGAGGCUCAGAAAUGACUACCCCAAACAAGACACCACCUGGUGCUGAUCCAAAGCAGUUAGAGAGGACUGGUACUGUUAGAGAAAUAGGCUCACAAGCAGUUUGGUCUCUUUCAUCCUGUAAGCCAGGAUUUGGAGUGGAUCAGUUACGAGAUGAUAAUCUAGAAACUUACUGGCAAUCAGAUGGAUCACAGCCUCAUUUGGUGAACAUCCAAUUUAGAAGAAAAACAACAGUGAAGACAUUAUGUAUUUAUGCAGACUACAAAUCCGAUGAAAGUUAUACUCCAAGCAAAAUCUCUGUAAGAGUAGGAAAUAAUUUUCAUAAUCUCCAGGAAAUCCGGCUUCAGCAUGCUAUCUGCCAGUCUCAAGGGAGGUAACUGAGAUUCACAUUGGAGCCAAGUCCCUCUAGGUCUGAAGGAUUUCCCCUGGUUCCAGGAGUCUUCUCAGUUUAAUAGCAGUGCACCUGCAAAGCAACUUGAACUAGUGGAACCAAGUGGCUGGAUUCAUGUUCCUUUAACAGAUACUCAUAAGAAGCCUAUUCGCACGUUUAUGAUUCAGAUUGCUGUUCUAGCUAAUCACCAAAAUGGAAGAGACACUCACAUGAGACAAAUCAAAGUGUACACCCCAGUGGAAGAGAGCUCUAUUGGUAAAUUCCCUAGAUGUACAACAAUUGAUUUCAUGAUGUAUCGCUCCAUAAGAUAAAACUUCUUAAUGAGAAAUAAUAAAGGCAUUUUUGAUGACAGCA